ACCUGAAAUAGUGGUUGGGAGGCCUGAAUC
rnacentral:piRNA from 1 species